rnacentral:rRNA from 1 species
GUAAUGCCGGAUGCUCCGACUCCUCGCAUGGGGUGUCGGGAAAGAUUUCAUCGGUAUGGGAUGGGGUCGCGUCCUAUCAGGUAGUCGGCGGGGUAACGGCCCACCGAGCCUACGACGGGUAGCCGGCCUGAGAGGGCGACCGGCCACAUUGGGACUGAGAUACGGCCCAGACUCCUACGGGAGGCAGCAGUGGGGAAUAUUGCACAAUGGGCGCAAGCCUGAUGCAGCGACGCCGCGUGCGGGAUGACGGCCUUCGGGUUGUAAACCGCUUUUGAUCGGGAGCAAGCCUUCGGGUGAGUGUACCUUUCGAAUAAGCACCGGCUAACUACGUGCCAGCAGCCGCGGUAAUACGUAGGGUGCAAGCGUUAUCCGGAAUUAUUGGGCGUAAAGGGCUCGUAGGCGGUUCGUCGCGUCCGGUGUGAAAGUCCAUCGCUUAACGGUGGAUCUGCGCCGGGUACGGGCGGGCUGGAGUGCGGUAGGGGAGACUGGAAUUCCCGGUGUAACGGUGGAAUGUGUAGAUAUCGGGAA